rnacentral:misc_RNA from 1 species
UUUUAUCAACUCAUUUGACUGUCUUGUUAUUAUGAUUAUUUCAUGUGGCAAAACCAAUUGAUGUCCAAAUUUUCACUCUUCAAAUGUUCAUUGAGGUUUAAGUUUCCUUUUCACCUCAAUUGGUUGACAAGGGUUUGAAGGAAAUGUGAAAUUUCAUAAUGACAUUGAUUCAGCCUAAAUGGUUUAAAGAUGUGCAUUGUUUGUUUUUUUUCGUUUAUGUCAUUGAAUAGAAACAAAAUGUCUGUCUUUUGUUGAAUCAUUUGUUUUGGUAAUUUAUAUACUUCUAUUUUCUUCUUAUGAUGCGUGGCUGUGUGUUGAUUGAUGACAUUAAAUUGUUCUUGUUUAACAGCUGGGUAUGUAGACCUUCCUGA